rnacentral:rRNA from 1 species
UACGUAGGGUACAAGCGUUGUCCGGAAUUAUUGGGCGUAAAGAGCUCGUAGGCGGUUUGUCGCGUCUGCUGUGAAAAUCCGGGGCUCAACCCCGGACUUGCAGUGGGUACGGGCAGACUAGAGUGUGGUAGGGGAGACUGGAAUUCCUGGUGUAGCGGUGAAAUGCGCAGAUAUCAGGAGGAACACCAAUGGCGAAGGCAGCUCGCUGGGACGGUACUGACGCUGAGACGCGAAAGCGUGGGGAGCAAACAGG